rnacentral:rRNA from 1 species
GGGGAUCGAAAGACCUUACGCUUUUGGAGCGGCCGAUGUCGGAUUAGCUAGUUGGUAGGGUAAUGGCUUACCAAGGCGACGAUCAGUAGUUGGUCUGAGAGGACGGCCAGCCACACUGGGACUGAGACACGGCCCAGACUCCUACGGGAGGCAGCAGUGGGGAAUUUUGGACAAUGGGCGCAAGCCUGAUCCAGCAAUGCCGCGUGAGUGAAGAAGGCCUUCGGGUUGUAAAGCUCUUUCAGUUGAGAAGAAAAGGUUGUGACUAAUAAUCACAACUCAUGACGGUAUCGACAGAAGAAGCACCGGCUAACUACGUGCCAGCAGCCGCGGUAAUACGUAGGGUGCGAGCGUUAAUCGGAAUUACUGGGCGUAAAGGGUGCGCAGGCGGUUUUGUAAGUCAGAUGUGAAAUCCCCGG